UGCUGCCUUCUCUACUUCCAGUCCAGAAUCCCGCUAAUAUGCCUGGGAAGGCAGCUGAAGACAGCUCAGGUGCUUGGGUGCCUACCACCCUUAAAGGAAACAAGAAUGGAGUUUCUGGUUCCUGGAUUGAUAUUAGCCCUGUUCAGGCUAUUGUAGCCAUUUGAUGAUGGCACAGGAAAGCUGACAUUGUCAUGCUGUAUUUGGAGUGGACCAUACCACCAGGAAACCAGAUAAAGUUGCCAGAAACCAGAGUCAGAGUUUUAUACCUUCCACGUACCUGGAGCAAAAAGGGCCCUGCAGCUACCCAUUUUCUACAUCCUGAUCACUCCCCAAACACUUGCUAUGAAUGCCCUGGCAAACUUCUUCUCAGGAGGUUGUUUCUUUAGAGAACUCUGUGUUCCCAUGUCUCCUUCACUUGCCACAAAUAAGUAAAGCUUCCUACUGAGCCA